rnacentral:rRNA from 1 species
GAUGAACGCUGGCGGCGUGCCUAAUACAUGCAAGUCGAGCGAAUGGAUUAAGAGCUUGCUCUUAUGAAGUUAGCGGCGGACGGGUGAGUAACACGUGGGUAACCUGCCCAUAAGACUGGGAUAACUCCGGGAAACCGGGGCUAGUACCGGAUAACAUUUUGAACCGCAUGGUUCGAAAUUGAAAGGCGGCUUCGGCUGUCACUUAUGGAUGGACCCGCGUCGCAUUAGCUAGUUGGUGAGGUAACGGCUCACCAAGGCAACGAUGCGUAGCCGACCUGAGAGGGUGAUCGGCCACACUGGGACUGAGACACGGCCCAGACUCCUACGGGAGGCAGCAGUAGGGAAUCUUCCGCAAUGGACGAAAGUCUGACGGAGCAACGCCGCGUGAGUGAUGAAGGCUUUCGGGUCGUAAAACUCUGUUGUUAGGGAAGAACAAGUGCUAGUUGAAUAAGCUGGCACCUUGACGGUACCUAACCAGAAAGCCACUGGCUAACUCUGUGCCAGCAGCCGCAGUAA